CAGGGGAUAGUUUAUAUAAAAUAUUAAUUUUGGGGAUUAAUGAAGAAUAAUUUAUUUUUUCCUGA
rnacentral:tRNA from 1 species